rnacentral:lncRNA from 1 species
AUAGCAGGUGGAACCCUAACUAUUGAGGGAGUUUGCAGAUACCUCAGGAUUCGUGACAAUGCCUUUAAAGAUCCAGGAGAGAUGUUCAGCUACUAGGAACUGCUAGCAAGUAUAGCGCGAAUGGCUCCGAGCUCAGACACUCUACAGCUGAGAGUAGACACUUGUGGGAGGAGUCUGCUACUAGUCUUAUCAGCUCUUAAAAACAGAAACUCAUCUGUCCAAGUUCGUGGCAGAAAGGAACGUCCUUGUGAAGACCUUUAUCUGAGCCACUGUACUUCGUUAUCACUGCCAUGCAGUUUACAUGAGCUGUUCUGCAGCUCAAAUUCCAUUUUGUGAAUGGGUUUUUUUUUUUAAUAAACUGUAUUUAACUUA